rnacentral:rRNA from 1 species
GACGAAGGAUGCAAGCGUUAUCCGGAAUUAUUGGGCGUAAAGAGCUCGUAGGCGGUUUGUCGCGUCUGCCGUGAAAGUCCGGGGCUCAACUCCGGAUCUGCGGUGGGUACGGGCAGACUAGAGUGAUGUAGGGGAGACUGGAAUUCCUGGUGUAGCGGUGAAAUGCGCAGAUAUCAGGAGGAACACCGAUGGCGAAGGCAGGUCUCUGGGCAUUAACUGACGCUGAGGAGCGAAAGCAUGGGGAGCGAACAGG